UCUCACGCUCUGUAGAAACACAAACCCUAUUAAAAAAAAUACCACUAAUACUCUCUCUUCCAGGUGAGUUUGACUCCUAACCCUAGCCACCGCAACCGAGGCCUCACCGCAACCAGAUGCAGAUCCGAUGCCACUGAGAUCUUUUCCUCCAACAGAAAGACGAACCCAGGCACCAGUGACUGGCUAGAGGCUUCUGAGUUGUGACUGUUUCCCCGUCGCCUUGUAACGGAAAGAGCCCGCCGUUAGACCUACGAGCCACAAAAUUACAGAGUUCUCGUUUAAUUGUGUUGUUGUGCAGAUUCCGGGAGUUGGUAACCAGUACAGGUACCGGCGAAGCUGUCGAAACCCUAGUGCCUCCAGCAACAUUUCUCGUCCUCUUCAGCAAAUCCGGCACCACCGAGGAGCUUCUCCGUCUCGUCCCCUGCGCUAACCAAGUAGGAGUAUGCAGCUAAUCAUCGGGAAGAGCUUAAUCUUCAAGGUAUGACUUUGAGAUUAAGUGUUAAGAACCAUUAGUGUUUGGGAAUGAAUCUAUUAUUGUCUGUUUCUUACAUGUCGAGGAUUUUAUGAAAAAGAGAGAUGAGCUUCCUGUUUGUAAAGGAGGAGACUUGAGAAGUUAUCUUCAAAUUCAGUGCUGGAGAAACGUGUAACAGGAAGCCGAGGACAAUUGGAUCAGAGAUGAUCAUGGAUCGACUAACUAUGCUGCCGAUAAGGUCUUGGAAAUUAUCCGAGCCUUGGAAGCAUGUGCACAAGUGGACCAGUUGCCUUGCUGUUGAGAAGAAAGAGUGGAAAUUUGAUACACUGUGAUAUUUAUGACACGCACUCGAGCUGUUAUCUUCUGCAACACUAAACGAAAGGUUUGCUUGGUUUCUGCAACUCUUCCUCACGAGAUUUUGGAGAUGACAUCAAAUUUUAUGACGGAGCCAAUGAAGAUACUUGUGAAGCGUGAUGAGUAGACUCUUGACGGCAAGAGGAUUAAGUUUAGAUUUUUGGUUUAGUUAAGUUUAUCGUUUAGUUUAGGUUCUUUUCUGGUUUUAGUUUGGUAAACUGGAAUUUGGUUGUAAACUGAUUUUAAUUUAUAAAUAAAAUUAUUUUUAUUUUAA